AUACGUAGGUGGCGAGCGUUGUCCGGAAUUAUUGGGCGUAAAGGGCGCGUAGGCGGCCCGGUAAGUCUGGAGUGAAAGUCCUGUUUUUAAGAUGGGAAUUGCUUUGGAUACUGUCGGGCUUGAGUGCAGGAGAGGUAAGUGGAAUUCCCAGUGUAGCGGUGAAAUGCGUAGAGAUUGGGAGGAACACCAGUGGCGAAGGCGACUUACUGGACUGUAACUGACGCUGAGGCGCGAAAGUGUGGGGAGCAAACAGGAUUAGAUACCCUGGUAGUCCACACUGUAAACGAUGAAUGCUAGGUGUAGGGGGUAUCGACCCCUUCUGUGCCGCAGUCAACACAAUAAGCAUUCCGCCUGGGGAGUACGGCCGCAAGGUUGAAACUCAAAUGAAUUGACGGGG
rnacentral:rRNA from 1 species